rnacentral:rRNA from 1 species
AGUGUUUGAUCAUGGCUCAGAUUGAACGCUGGCGGCAUGGCUAAAACAUGCAAGUCGAACGCGAAAGUUCCUUCGGGAGCAAGUAGAGUGGCGUAAGGGCGAGGAAUACGUUUCUACGUACCCCAAGGUCGAGGAUAGCUCGGAGAAAUCCGGGGUAAUACUCGAUGUGGUGCUUCGGCAUCAAAGGCUUGUCUGCCUUGGGAGCGGGGAACGUCCUAUCAGGUUGUUGGCGAGGUAAUGGCUCACCAAGCCAAAGACGGGUAGCGGGUGUGGGAGCAUGACCCGCCGCAUCGGGACUGAGACACUGCCCGGACUCCUACGGGAGGCUGCAGUAACGAAUAUUCCGCAAUGCACGAAAGUGUGACGGGGCAAUGCCGCGUGUGGGAUGAAGCCCUUCGGGGUGUAAACCACUGUCAGGGUCUAGGAACACAAUGACCAGACUCAAAGGAAGGGCCGGCUAACUCUGUGCCAGCAGCCGCGGUAAUACAGAGGGCCCGAGCGUUAAUCGGAAUCACUGGGCUUAAAGAGUGCGUAGGCGGACGUAAAGGUAUUUUGUGAAA